UACGUAGGGUGCGAGCGUUAAUCGGAAUUACUGGGCGUAAAGCGUGCGCAGGCGGCUUUGCAAGACAGAUGUGAAAUCCCCCGGGCUUAACCUGGGAAUGGCAUUGGUGACUGCACGGCUAGAGUGUGUCAGAGGGGGGGUAGGAAUUCCACGUGUAGCAGUGAAAUGCGUAGAGAUGUGGAGGAAUACCGAUGGCGAAGGCAGCCCCCUGGGAUAACGACUGACGCUCAUGCACGAAAGCGUGGGGAGCAAACAGG
rnacentral:rRNA from 1 species